AGUGAACGCUGGCGGUAGGCCUAACACAUGCAAGUCGAACGGCAGCACAGUAAGAGCUUGCUCUUACGGGUGGCGAGUGGCGGACGGGUGAGGAAUACAUCGGAAUCUACUUUUUCGUGGGGGAUAACGUAGGGAAACUUACGCUAAUACCGCAUACGACCUACGGGUGAAAGCAGGGGAUCUUCGGACCUUGCGCGAUUGAAUGAGCCGAUGUCGGAUUAGCUAGUUGGCGGGGUAAAGGCCCACCAAGGCGACGAUCCGUAGCUGGUCUGAGAGGAUGAUCAGCCACACUGGAACUGAGCCACGGUCCAGACUCCUACGGGAGGCAGCAGUGGGGAAUAUUGGACAAUGGGCGCAAGCCUGAUCCAGCCAUACCGCGUGGGUGAAGAAGGCCUUCGGGUUGUAAAGCCCUUUUGUUGGGAAAGAAAAGCAGCAGGUUAAUACCCCGCUGUUCUGACGGUACCCAGAGAAUAAGCACCGGCUAACUUCGUG
rnacentral:rRNA from 1 species